UAGAAAAUUGUUAAUUUUGCAUUUCGUUGCAAAAUUUACAAUGUUCUACA
rnacentral:pre_miRNA from 1 species